rnacentral:rRNA from 1 species
GACGAACGCUAGCGGCAUGCUUAACACAUGCAAGUCGAACGGUAUUUCCCUUCUGUUGUGGAGUGCGCGGGGCACGGGUGCGUGACUCGCAUGUAAGUAACCUGUCUUUGGCUGUGGGCUUUCCUAAAGGAACUUUAAUUCCUCCUAAUUUGUUGAUUCGGCUCCCUGGUUAGGGUAGGCUCGUUUGGGCGGAUAUGGGCAGGCUCGAGAUUAGUUAGUUGGUUAGGUAACGGCUCACUUAGCCAAUGAUCUAUAGGGGGCCUGAGAGUGUGAGCCCCCACACGGGUACUGAGACACGGACCAGACUGCUACGGGAGGCAGCAGUGCGGAAUAUUGGACAAUGGGUUAGCGCCUGAUCCAGCCAUCCCGGGUGAAGGACGACGGCCCUAUGGGUUGUAAACUUCUUUUGUAUAGGGAUAAACCUACUCUCGUGAGAGUAGCUGAAGGUACUAGACGAAUAAGCACCGGCUAACUACGUG